rnacentral:rRNA from 1 species
AGAGCUUGCUCUCUUGGUGGCGAGUGGCGGACGGGUGAGGAAUACAUCGGAAUCUACCUUUUGGUGGGGGAUAACGUAGGGAAACUUACGCUAAUACCGCAUACGCCCUUCGGGGGAAAGCCGGGGACCUUCGGGCCUGGCGCUGAUAGAUGAGCCGAUGUCGGAUUAGCUAGUUGGUGAGGUAAUGGCUCACCAAGGCGACGAUCCGUAGCUGGUCUGAGAGGAUGAUCAGCCACACUGGAACUGAGACACGGUCCAGACUCCUACGGGAGGCAGCAGUGGGGAAUAUUGGACAAUGGGCGCAAGCCUGAUCCAGCCAUACCGCGUGGGUGAAGAAGGCCUUCGGGUUGUAAAGCCCUUUUGUUGGGAAAGAAAAGCNAUCGGUUAAUACCCGGUUGUUCUGACGGUACCCAAAGAAUAAGCACCGGCUAACUUCGUGCCAGCAGCCGCGGUAAUACGAAGGGUGCAAGCGUUACUCGGAAUUACUGGGCGUAAAGCGUGCGUAGGUGGUGGUUUAAGUCCGUUGUGAAAGCCCUGGGCUCAACCUGGGAAUUGCAGUGGAUACUGGGUCACUAGAGUGUGGUAGAGGAUAGUGGAAUUUCCGGUGUAGCAGUG